UUCUCGUUAAAUCUAUUUCUAGGUAGUAUGGUGUAAUAAUUGCAGCCUUACAAGACGCUUCAAUUAAUACAAAUAUUACUUUUAAUUAUAUGAUAUAAAUAUAAUCUCGCGCAUGUAGUAUUUCUGAGCUGCAAUUAAGGAAUUGGAUUUUGAAAAAAUUAUAUUCGAUAUCUAGCUUUGGCGCUUUAUGAACAUUUAUCAUGACAAUAUUUAAGCUCCGUUAAUAGUGUCAAUUAAAUUUCGAAACGAUAUACAUUCGGCAGCGCACUGUCAUCAGAACAAGCGCCUUUCACCUCCGAAGUUUGUGGGUUUGAUUCUCGCUACGGACUCAUGUGAAAAGAGUCAGUCAACGCUCUGCCGAAAGUCGUGGGUUUUCUCCGGGUGCUCUGGUUUCCUCCCACAGGGAAAGUUGACAUGAGGGUGGGUUAGGAUAAACACUGUUGAGAAAGUAAUAUCACAAUUGUUGUAAAGAUAAAAUAAUCUAGGCUAAGUAUGUAAUUAGGUAAGCGUGUAAUAUUGAAGUCAUGAUAAUAAAGCGCGUUUGAAAUUAGCCAUUCCGAAGUUGAUGACAGGACUGGGGACGAGUGUUAAAAAGUGCCCAAAUUAAGAAAUGAACCAAAUCACUAAAUAGACCACCUCAAAAUUAGUAAGUAUACAAAGUUUGAAGACGUUUACAUGAAUACUCUUCGAAUAAUAAGCCUUCGAAAUUGUGAAAUUACUGAUUAAAGAUUGUGUUUGGGACGCGCGUCCCAAAAACAAAAAUUACAAUACAUUUCAUAG